GACGGGGGGGCAAGUGUUCUUCGGAAUGACUGGGCGUAAAGGGCACGUAGGCGGUGAAUCGGGUUGAAAGUGAAAGUCGCCAAAAAGUGGCGGAAUGCUCUCGAAACCAAUUCACUUGAGUGAGACAGAGGAGAGUGGAAUUCGUGUGUGAGGGGUGAAAUCCGUAGAUCUACGAAAGGACGCCAAAAGCGAAGGCAGCUCUCUGGGUCCCUACCGACGCUGGGGUGCGAAA
rnacentral:rRNA from 1 species